AAGUCGUAACAAGGUUUCCGGAGGUGGAAGGAUCAUUAACACGUAUCCUGCGUUAACCACCUGGGCAUCGAAACCUCUACACAAGACGGCUUGUUAUGGCAAUAUGCCUUGACUCAGGACAUGUCCAGAGCUCGCCGUUUGUGUAGCAAAGGCGCAACUCGACAGACCGCUGGAAAUGACAACAAUGCCCAGUGCUCUUACUUCAGAGCUGGAGCCGGAAACGAACAACUGUUCACACGGAUAACUUGGCUCUC
rnacentral:misc_RNA from 1 species